GCAGUCGAACGCCUAGCUUGCUAGGAGUGGCGCACGGGUGCGUAACACGUGGGAACCUGCCUUUCAAUACGGAACAACUUCGGGAAACUGGAGCUAAUACCGUAUAUCCUGCUUACUUUGGUCGUAAGUAGAAAAGAUUUAUCGUUGAAAGAUGGGCCCGCGGUGGAUUAGCUUGUUGGUGAGGUAAUGGCUCACCAAGGCGACGAUCCAUAGCUGGUUUGAGAGGAUGAUCAGCCACACUGGGACUGAGACACGGCCCAGACUCCUACGGGAGGCAGCAGUGGGGAAUAUUGGACAAUGGGCGAAAGCCUGAUCCAGCAAUGCCGCGUGAGUGAAGAAGGCCUUCGGGUCGUAAAACUCUUUCACAAGUGAAGAUAAUGACGGUAACUUGAGAAGAAGCCCCGGCUAACUUCGUGCCAGCAGCCGCGGUAAUACGAAGGGGGCUAGCGUUGUUCGGAAUUACUGGGCGUAAAGGGCGUGUAGGCGGCUUGACCAGUUAGGUGUGAAAUCCCCAGGCUCAACCUGGGAACUGCACUUAAUACUGUCAAGCUAGAGAACCAGAGGGGG
rnacentral:rRNA from 1 species